rnacentral:rRNA from 1 species
CGUGUAGGCGGCCAUGCAGGUCCGUUGUGAAAACUGGAGGCUUAACCUCCAGCGGUCGGUGGAAACCGCAUGGCUAGAGUCCGGAAGGGGAGAGUGGAAUUCCCGGUGUAGCGGUGAAAUGCGCAGAUAUCGGGAAGAACACCCGUGGCGAAGGCGGCUCUCUGGGACGGUACUGACGCUGAGACGCGAAAGCGUGGGGAGCGAACA